rnacentral:rRNA from 1 species
UACGAGGGGGUCAAGCGUUGUUCGGAAUUAUUGGGCGUAAAGGGUGCGUAGGCGGUUUGGUAAGUCUUAUGUGAAAUCUACAGGCUCAACUUGUAGUCUGCAUGAGAAACUGCCGGGCUUGAGUAUGGGAGAGGUGAGUGGAAUUCCUGGUGUAGCGGUGAAAUGCGUAGAUAUCAGGAGGAACACCUGUGGCGAAAGCGGCUCACUGGACCAUAACUGACGCUGAUGCACGAAAGCUAGGGGAGCAAACAGG